rnacentral:rRNA from 1 species
GACGAACGCUGGCGGCGUGCUUAACACAUGCAAGUCGAGCGGUAAGGCCCUUUCGGGGGUACACGAGCGGCGAACGGGUGAGUAACACGUGGGUGACCUGCCCUCAGCUCUGGGAUAAGCCCGGGAAACUGGGUCUAAUACCGGAUAUGACUCCAUGACGCAUGUUGUGGGGUGGAAAGCCUUGUGCGGCUGAGGAUGGGCCCGCGGCCUAUCAGCUUGUUGGUGGGGUGAUGGCCUACCAAGGCGACGACGGGUAGCCGGCCUGAGAGGCGACCGGCCACACUGGGACUGAGACACGGCCCAGACUCCUACGGGAGGCAGCAGUGGGGAAUCUUGCGCAAUGGGCGAAAGCCUGACGCAGCGACGCCGCGUGAGGGAUGACGGCCU